AAUACCCCUAAAAAAUUCAAGGGGUAUUUUGGUCAUUAUAUGUUAUCAAAAACUUAUUUUUAAUAUGUUUUUUUUAUAGGUGAGCUCCAAUGAGAAGAUGACACGUACCAAAUUUCAUAUUCAUAUAAUUUGUAUAAAAAAAAACUAAAAAUAAAAUACUUUGAGACGUUGGAUUUAAGAUCAAACGAUGAUUGACUGUCUUGAUCAAAAUUGGACGGUGGGAUGGUAGGGAAAGUAUAUAUCUUCUAUGCUGUAGAAGAAGUAUAGAAACAUUUCUUAUUAGAGAUUACAUAUCCUUAAAACUUACGUCUAAAAAUCCAUCUCAAAAAUAGAUUUUUAAGAAAGGGACUCAUUUUUACAUGGGCUGUUGUUUUGCCAGAUGAUCGUGACAAGCAUGCUCAUGUAGAAGCAUAGUGUGCAUUAAUUCUCUCGGGCAAAAGAGAUAUUUUGAAAUAUUUUUAUACGAAAAUUUGAGAUCAACAUGAGAAUCAUUAGAUGGUUAUUUUUAAAAGAAAUUAAAUUUGGAGUUCCUCAUCACUCUUGCUCUCCAAAAGUUUGAAUUCUUCUGUAUUUAAGGUUGGUCUCUAGGCUCAAGAGGUCAUGUCCCCAAAAUUCAAGGUCUUAAAAAUACUCAUAGUAUGAGUUCUACCUGAGACCAAAUGGACAAUAAGCUCCUCCAGGACCAGCAUAUCUUUUACAUGUACAACAAUUUCCAUCGGGAGCAAACUGUAUAUUAACUCGCUCGGGCAAAAGCCAUUAAAGUUGGGCAAAUAUAUGAGCGAUUUAAAUUGAAGAUCGAGUAAAAGAGUAAAUUUCGAGGAAUAUGGGGAUUCCAUCCACCAAAAGGUUCCAAGGCAUUGUUGUAAGAUUAUGUCUUUUGCCUUAAAAGGUUUUUAUUUGUCAGACUAAAUAUUGGUUGGUUUCUUAACAUGAUUGGGGUUAACAUAUUCUAUGACAUUCCUUUCAUUUUCAUUUUGUAAGUAAAUUGGCAUGGCUUCCAUUUUGUAAGUAAAUUGGCAGCACGCUGUCCCUCUAGAUGGCCGGUCGAUGCUCCCGACUUUCGGCGUGAAGUGGCGGUGGACUUGGUGUCCGAGUCCCACGCCCAUGCGCUUGGGUCGAAGUACACCUUAGCUUUUGACAUCUGAGAAUGUUCUUUAAUGUUAGAAAAAAAAAAAAAAAUAUUUAAUCCCAUAAAUAGUGCAUCUUGCUACAUAUUAUCUAGACAGUCCAUUUUCAAGAUUUUCAUGCGUUUAUAGAUCUACCUGAUUUUAAUCAUUUUUAAGUUUAAAAUGUUAUAAUUAGAUACAAAAAUACCUUUCAGAUAAUCCUAAAAACUCUUUAUACCAAAAUUACAUGUUAUGAUAAAAUUUAGAGCAAUCGCAUAAUUGGAUUAUUUAAGGUUGCGACCUUAAUAGAAUGUCUUAUCCCCUUGCAUCACCGUCUAAUACCUAACCUUAAACAAUCCCCCCCUCCAUCCCAACGACAGCGACUAGUUACACAAAAAAUUACAUGUUAUGAUAAAACAACUGGUUGUCGCCGUCUCCACCCGUCCAUCACUGUCCAGUAGCUGGGAUGGACAAUGAGUUGGAAAGUGAUGGGGGAAUGCUAGUCCCACAAAACAAGUCAUUAAUCUGGAGGUCUUAUCCCCUUCCAUCACCGUCCAGUCGCUGGGAUGGACAGUAAUGACCUCUGUUAACAAUAUUGUUCCAAAUGUUACAAAAUAAAAAUGAAAAAAAAGAAAGACAAGCAUUAGAUUAUUACUAGGGAAAAUUACAAAAAACUCCUCAAAAGAUAUUAUCUAUACAACUUAUCCCCAUCGAAACCUUUUCUCUCAUUUUUUUUCCCACAAUAAGCUUUCUAUGCAAAAUUCCCCCAAAAUAAAAAGUACUUUUUUUAGAUGAAAAUGCCGUUCCCAUAUAAAAAAAUCAAUUUUGUGUGAUUUGACGCCUCACAAGUUCUACUGCUGGAGAGCCUUUUGCCACUGUCAGAGCGAUGUGUCUCACAAGUACUAUUGCCGGAACGUCCUUUGCAACUGUCGAAGAGGUAUUGCUGGAGCGCCCUUGGCUACUACCGAAACGCUGUGUCGCACAGGUUCUACUACCGGAGAGAGAGGCGUGUGAGAGAGAGGCGUGUGCAAUAGUAUUAAGGGUAGUUUAGUCUUUUUAUUUUAUUUUAUUUAGGUUGGGGGUUACUUGCAUGUUAUAGGGAAAAAACUGAGAAAAAAAGUUAGAUUGAGAGUAAGUUGCACAAAUAGUGUAGUCUUCGGGUUUUUUUUGUAAUUUUUCCUUAUUGGGUUCAAAUCCUAUUGCCACUGCCCCACUCAUACUAAUACUAAUACUGCCACUACCACUGCCCUUGUGUCCUCCGAAAGGUUACCGACUCUUAUUGAAUUCUCUUCGUUUCUCCUCCUCAUUUCAGUUCCAGCCUUUCCAACCCCACCAGCUCUUGGUGGGGCGACAUAAAUGCCCUUCGUGGACCCAUCUUGGGCAGGGACGGUGGGUCCUUCGGUUGCUGAGGCCUGU
rnacentral:lncRNA from 1 species